rnacentral:rRNA from 1 species
AGGUAUUAAUUUCAACUUAAACCAAUUUAUUUUGGCGGCAUUUCAUCUUAUUAGAGGAACUUGUCAUUUAAUCGACAAUCCUCGAUAAUUUUCACUAUUUUCACAAAUUUCUAUACCGCCAUCUUAAGAAUUGAUUUCAAAAUCCUAUUCUAAAAACCAAAUAGAAAGUUAGGUCAAGGUGUAAUCCAUAUUUUAGCUUAGAUGAGUUACAUUAAAUACCAUUUAAGGACAAAAGCAUAACAAUGCUCUUCCAAAUAGGAUUUAAAAGUAAUAUUCAAAUAAUAAUUAAAAAUGAAAUAGAAAAUAAAUGUGU